GUGCCUAACACAUGCAAGUCGAACGGAGUUCUUAAGGAAUGCGACUUCGGUCAAAUGACUUUUGAACUUAGUGGCGGACGGGUGAGUAACGCGUGAGCAACCUGCCUUUCAGAGGGGGAUAACAUUUGGAAACAGAUGCUAAUACCGCAUAAGAUUACAGUACCGCAUGAUACAGUGAUCAAAGGAGCAAUCCGCUGAAAGAUGGGCUCGCGUCCGAUUAGAUAGUUGGUGAGGUAACGGCUCACCAAGUCGACGAUCGGUAGCCGGACUGAGAGGUUGAACGGCCACAUUGGGACUGAGACACGGCCCAGACUCCUACGGGAGGCAGCAGUGGGGAAUAUUGCACAAUGGGCGAAAGCCUGAUGCAGCAACGCCGCGUGAGGGAAGACGGUUUUCGGAUUGUAAACCUCUGUUUUCGGUGACGAACAAAUGACGGUAACCGAGUAGGAAGCCACGGCUAACUACGUGCCAGCAGCCGCGGUAAUACGUAGGUGGCAAGCGUUAUCCGGAAUUACUGGGUGUAAAGGGAGCGCAGGCGGGAUAGCAAGUCAGCUGUGAAAACUAUGGGCUCAACCCAUAAACUGCAGUUGAAACUGUUAUUCUUGAGUGGAGUAGAGGCAAGCGGAAUUCCGAGUGUAGCGGUGAAAUGCGUAGAUAUUCGGAGGAACACCAGUGGCGAAGGCGGCUUGCUGGGCUCUAACUGACGCUGAGGCUCGAAAGUGUGGGGAGCAAACAGGAUUAGAUACCCUGGUAGUCCACACUGUAAACGAUGAUUGCUAGGUGUGGGGGGUCUGACCCCCUCCGUGCCGGAGUUAACGCAAU
rnacentral:rRNA from 1 species